rnacentral:rRNA from 1 species
UACAGAGGGGGCAAGCGUUGUUCGGAAUUACUAGGCGUAAAGGGCGCGUAGGCGGCCUUCUAAGUCGAACGUGAAAUCCCCGGGCUCAACCCGGGAACUGCGUCCGAUACUGGAAGGCUUGAAUCCGGGAGAGGGAUGCGGAAUUCCAGGUGUAGCGGUGAAAUGCGUAGAUAUCUGGAGGAACACCGGUGGCGAAGGCGGCAUCCUGGACCGGCAUUGACGCUGAGGCGCGAAAGCCAGGGGAGCAAACGGG